CUUCGAUUCGUCUGUCGUUUCUAGACUUUCACGGUCCCGGUCACUGGAGAUUCCCCUCUGAACGGCUCUCUCUUCUUCUAGGGUUUUCCGGGAACCUUUUGAAUUUCCGCCGGCGGCGGAGGAGAGAAGAACGCGACGGUGAAUCGCCGGUCCCUUCGGCGCCGUCGCGGUGCCGGAGAAGCUCGCGUUCGAUCAGCGAUCUCUCUGGAGACCUCGCUUCCUCCGUCUCAUCCCGAUUCCGAAGAAGCGGCGGCGGCGGCGGCGGCGGAGAAAGGUCCGGAGCAAUGGGGUACCGGUUCCCGCCUUACGGAGCGCAAUCGGUGCUCGGAGAAGGUUACGAGCAGCACCUGUCGGGACCGGAGGGGGCCACUCUCGAGAACUCCGAGGCCUCGCGAGCGUCUCUCUGCUAUCGCGCGCGCUUCUCGAGGAUUCCUACGGUGAUCGGCUCCGUCCUUUCCCGAUCCUGAUCUACUCGUUGGUUCGUCGAGUUGCGGUGUCUUUCUCUACUUCUUGUUCCCUCUGUUCGGCGCGAAUGUUUGGUUUCGAUAGCGGAAUGUGAAGAUUCAAUGCGGAUGAAAAAGGAUGGUUAUAAAUCCACUUAGACGAGCUCUCUGUCAUCGAAUACCGCAGCCUUUGUUGAUGAACUCAAGGUUCAGCAUCCUGCUGCCAACCAAGAUUUUAGUUCUAUCAGGCAGGGCUCAACAAGAAGACAUUGGUGAUGGUGUCGAUUUGACAGUCUCUUUUGCUGGAGAGCUGGUCCGAAAAGCGAAGGAGCUUAUUAGGAUGGGACUGCAUCCAAGCGAGAUCAUUUGCAGUUCUACAUAUGGAGGUAGGAUCAAUAUGCUAUUGGAAAAUUUGCCAAAAGUUGUGAGAUCAUACCUAAGAUUAUAUUAUCUCUACAUGUUGAACAUGCAAAUGGAAAUGCCAAAGUGGGUAUCAGUUCGGAGGAAGGCACUUGUAAGGAUGUCUCAGCCAUGAACAUUUAGGACCUCCACAUCACCAAAUUAGCUGCUUUCCUGACUUUUCAUAUCUGUUUGGUUCGGUUGCACUGGUUUUUCCCCCGUUCAUAUUAAUUAAGGUGACCAUAUUUACUGCAUCUGUUGAGAGGGAACUAAUUCUUAUGUUUUACGGGUUGACUAUGUUAAAGUUGUAAACUUCGCACCAAAGGGAUCAUUCUCUGAGGAACAACUUAGUUUUCUGUGAAUGGACUUCAUGUAUUAGUCCCGGUUUAGUUGUCACCAACCUGUCUUCGACUCGUGCAAGAUCAGUUCAAUGUACCAAGCGAACGCUUUAGCUGAAAAUGCACGUAAUUUCAGCCUUGCAAAUUAAUAUGGAUAUACAUUAUCAAUGGUCUUGGUUUUGCUUCAUAUACGAUUAGAUUUUCAAAAUGUCAUUCAUCAUUUUAACAAGCACAUUGCAUAUGAUGUGCUCUUCUGCAGGUCUUUUGCUAUUAUAUAUGCUGCUGAUGCUGCACGUACUGUGCUUUGGGUUGAUCAGAGAUUAUGGUAUAGGUGGAUUUUGCAUGAGCAAGGAGAUCGAGAUGUGCUCGUGCAUCAACUGCAAAGGUGCAAGAUCCAUAUCGCAAUGGUAAAACCAGCCGGAGACCCAAGGAUGGAACAGCGGCCUGGAUACGGAUGAGGACUGAUGCUUUGAAUUUGAUCUGAGGCAAUGGCUACCCACUUCAUUGGCCGAAAUAUUGUUUCAGGCGUGGCGUCUCUUUCUUUUCAUUUUGCAUCUAGUAUUUUUUUUUUCGCCCGCACGCUUCGGUCUCAUUGGGCAGGAUUUCUCACGGCGAAAUCGACAGCUUUAGUUAUUGUAAAUCCUUUGUCUGGUGGUUGCCAAGGCUGGCCUUUAAUUGGUGGCGUUUGCAACUCGGGGUCCUAAAUUUCGUGCUCUGUACAACGUUUUGCACAUUGCUGGUGCGGCUUGCGGUCCUUUGCUAUUUUCUCGCGAGUUUACUUUGAUGGAGAAGGUCUUCGUCAAUGAUUUUCAAUUCUAUUCA